rnacentral:rRNA from 1 species
CCUACGGGAGGCAGCAGUGAGGAAUAUUGGUCAAUGGACGAGAGUCUGAACCAGCGAAGUAGCGUGAAGGAUGACUGCCCUAUGGGUUGUAAACUCUUUUUAUAUGGGAAUAAACCAGGGUAUGCAUACCCUCUUGUAUGUACCAUAUGAAUAAGGAUCGGCUAACUCCGUGCCAGCAGCCGCGGUAAUACGGAGGAUCCGAGCGUUAUCCGGAUUUAUUGGGUUUAAAGGGAGCGUAGGUGGAUGGUUAAGUCAGUUGUGAAAGUUUGCGGCUCAACCGUAAAAUUGCAGUUGAAACUGGCAGUCUGGAGUACAGUAGAGGUGGGCGGAAUUCGUGGUGUAGCGGUGAAAUGCGUAGAUAUCACGAAGAACUCCGAUUGCGAAGGCAGCUCACUGGACUGCAACUGACACUGAUGCUCGAAAGUGUGGGUAUCAAACAGGAUUAGAUACCCCUGUAGUC